rnacentral:lncRNA from 13 species
UUUUUACCUCUUAAGAUAAAAAAGACCUUCAUAAGUCUGCCCAUGGCUUAGAAUAAAACAUUCAAACAUUCAAAAACAGAACACUGAUAUGAAUAUAGAACAUUUUUUUCCCGAUGAGGUCAACACAUUAAAGAAAAAAUUAUGCUCUAUCCAAAGUUGGCUUUAUUUCUGUUUCUUUUUGCAGACCCCUUGAUGAUAUGCACGACUUUUCAGUUUCUGAGAAAUAAUGAAACAUUGCCAUUUUCAAGAUAUUUUUGACCUGAUUUCCAGUGACCACUGUCAUCCUAAGAAUGGGAGAACAACUCAAGAUGGAUGUGGCAAAAGAAUCUUCUUCAGAGAGAUCCCCAGACUGAAAAAUCCACUUGACCAAACUCUCAGGGCUUACUUUGAGAGUGGGCAGUCUUAUGAUUCAGUAAACCUAGAUUUGGUGACCUCACUGAAGGUAUAGCACAUAAAAAACAAAAGAAAGCGUGACCAAGUUUUCGUUCUUCUUGUUGUUUUGGUACUUUAAGUUGUCAUGGUGCCUGCCUGUUUGAUUCCCUUUUGGUCACAUAAGUUUGUGUCUUUAUGACAGAUUUUUGGUUUAGCAAUUAUGUCAUUUUCUGUGUAGGAGUUGUGACUUUUUGAAUUAAAAUAAGGAGGAGAUCUUUGAGUAUUUAGAAAUGUCAGUGCUUGUAUUUAUGAAUUAUCAAAGAAAGAAGUUACAACACAUUUCUGCAACCUUUCCUACACUGUCUUAUUGUUCUGUGUUAGCAUACUGAAUUCCACACAAGCACUACGAAAAUGCCUGUGAAUGCCUAGAAUACAGUCAGAAAGUAUCUUGGAGUUUGGUAAAAUAUAAGUCAUUAAAAGUACUUGUUUAUACUUAGAGUUAAAUAUAGAAAAUUUCUCUUUGGUGUUUCCACCAAAUCUAAGUAGCAUCCUGUUCACAGAGAGGUUAAGUCUCUAGAAAGCUCACUUAAUGUUAAAAAUUAACUUGUCUUAUAAAUAAUACUUUAUUCUCGCAAAUACUAGUUUUUUAGGUUGCUGUGGAACUGUGCGAAAAGCUCUGGACUUUGAAUUAUAAGAAGGGAGAUUUUAAGGCUCUAAUUGGCCACGUAUUUGGAAACACUAUGUAUCUAAAAUGUCUAUGAUUAGGAUUAAAUAACAUGUGAAGCAACAUGCAAACUAUGGAGAUUUGUAUAAAUAUAAAGUCAUAUUAUCUUGCUCAAAUCCAAUACAUAUUUACUUUUAUAUUUUGAAAUCAUUUAUAUUUAUAUAAAGUAUUUUCUAUACCAUAGCCAUUAUGUCCAAAUUGGAGAUGUUUAUUGAUAAGCUUCCUAUCUAAUUUUUGUUACCCAUUUAUUUUCACAAAGCUUUCUUUAUAGCUGACUUAAAAUUUGCCUCAAAUAGUCAACUGACAAUGGCUACAGCUAUCAGAGCCACUGUUUAUACUACAAAAAUCAAACUAAACAUUUAUAAAAAUUUCCAGAGAAGAUUCCAGCUAAUGAAAGCACCAUUUGUGGUGUGCUAAAACAUGCGCACACAUAGGUAUUGCCCCAUUUAUCAGACAUGAGAGCUAAUUACCUCAUACACCACUAUAUCUCUUCCACUCUCUGCAUUUCAAUUCCCAAUAUUAACACAUAGGUGGUCAAGCUGACCAUCGAAUAGCCUGCAUGAGCAUGAAUGCAUUAAAUAAUUUAAUGUUGGAAGAGUUUAUUAAACUGCCACAUUCUAAUCAGCAUGCGUACCUGCCUUCAUUAAUUUUGCACUGGUCCAUGGUGUGUCUCUACAGCCAACACGGAGAGCACUAAUGUUAAUAGGAGCUCUUAACAAACAGGACCAGUUAAUCAAGGAAAAUUUACUAUUAACCACAUGACCAUGCAUACUGCAAUCUAAUUACAAUCAGAUUUAACCCUCACCCUGCCACACCCAUUUAGACAUCUUUCUUAUUAUUUGUCAAUAAAACUGCAGAAAAUUGAGUAUCA